GUCUAUGGCCAUACCCUGAACGCGCCGGAUCUCAUCUGAUCUCCGAAGCUAAGCAGGGUCAGGCCUGGUUAGUACUUGGAUGGAAAAGCAUGCCUCGAGCUUAAGAUUCUAUGGUUA
rnacentral:rRNA from 1 species